rnacentral:rRNA from 1 species
UCGAUGAUCCUUAGUUGAUCUGGGAAGGAUGCACAGCCACAUUGGAACUGAGACAAGGUCCAAGCUCCAGUAGGAGGCAGCAGUGAGGAAUAUUGGGCAAUGGGCGAAAGCCUGACCCAACGAUACCCCGUGAUUGAAGAAGACCAAGGUCGUAAAGGUACGCGGUCAGUAAAGAUUACGACGGUAACUGGCCAAAAAGCCCCGGCUAACUCCGUGCCAGCAGCCGCGGUAAUACGG